GAUGAACGCUAGCGGCAGGCCUAAUACAUGCAAGUCGAACGGGAUCCAGAUCAAAGCUUGCUUUGGUUUGGUGAGAGUGGCGCACGGGUGCGUAACGCGUGAGCAACCUACCCUUGUCAGGGGGAUAGCCCGGCGAAAGUCGGAUUAAUACCGCAUGACAUCUUUGAGAGGCAUCUUUCGAUGAUCAAAGAUUUAUCGGACAAGGAUGGGCUCGCGUGACAUUAGCUAGUUGGUAAGGUAACGGCUUACCAAGGCUACGAUGUCUAGGGGCUCUGAGAGGAGAAUCCCCCACACUGGUACUGAGACACGGACCAGACUCCUACGGGAGGCAGCAGCAAGGAAUAUUGGUCAAUGGACGGAAGUCUGAACCAGCCAUGCCGCGUGCAGGAAGACGGCCAUAUGGGUUGUAAACUGCUUUUAUACGGGAACAAACGUCGGUACGUGUACCGGUCUGAGUGUACCGUAAGAAUAAGGAUCGGCUAACUCCGUG
rnacentral:rRNA from 1 species